GGACUUCUUUAUAUUUCCAACUUCUCUGAAUUGAUUUUGUAGCUACCAAUGAACUUGGUUUCAUUGCAUACUCUGAAUACCUUAAUAUAAUAUCUAUCUGCCCUGUAAACCUGUAGCUCUGGUUGGACUAUGGGCUACAAAAUAUGAAUUUACUGCAAGUUGGGAAUAGAUUGAUUUGAUCUGAAAAUCAGUAAGAAAUCUGCUAUUGAGCAGCAGAAAAUUCAAUUCAGGUUAGGGGACAAGUAAAUAGAAGGUAGCGGGAAAUAGGAGAGAAUAAGAGAGGAAGCAAGAAGAUAGGAACAAGGGAGAAAGGAGGCCUUUGACCUUUUAUUUCAAUAUCAAUUUCUAGAUAUAAAUUCCAUCCUGUGUACAUGUUGCUAAUGCCCUUUAAUAGGCAUAACCAGUCUCCUUCCUUUCCUAAAUAGGACUCUAAAACAAAUUCCAAAGAUGGCCUGUUAAGAUCAAUCCCAGUCGGGAUUAUUCAGUCAGCACACCUUCCUAAUUGAAUCCUUUUCUCGACUCUCCAAUCAAUCUAGAGCCCUCUCAAACCUGGACACCUAAAGUUUCCUAAAAACCCUCAUUGAUAUAUUUAAUAAAAAGAAAAACUUAACUAAAUAAGAUAACCUUCAGUGCAAACAAAAGACCUAGUCAAAGCCAUGUUUGAUUGCAUUGCACAAAGUACCAGCAAGUACCUGACUGAACCAGUCCAUUUCUGUUCUGGACUGCACCAAUUUCCUCCUGGUGUGCUUUAUCAUGUCCCAUGAUCCUCGGGGUAAUGCCACAUGCUUUGUCUCACCCUUGGAUCUUUAAAGCUUGAUGGAGUCCAAUGUGAUUUCUCCUCAUGAUAGGUCUGUUGGAUAACUGUAGUAGAUUUUUAUUCUCAAUAUUCACAAGCUUCUUGUUAAACUGCAAGAAGAUAUUGAUAAUUGGAACUUUUAGCUUAUGAUCAAAUGGAUCUAAGAAGCAGUGCAUGAUUAAUAUUAUUGGCUGCUUAGGGAUCUUGACUGGAUGAUCCUCACGUGAUGAAUCUUUGGUCAAAGGAUCUAAAACCAUUGAAUUUAUGAACAUGGACUCAUCAUAGACUUGAUCUUUGACGAGACAUGACUUUGUUAGAAUAGUUUGUUCCAUGGUUGGAUCUUCAUCUGUUUGUUUUCAUCUAAAAGGGCGUCCUAAUGCACAAGACUCUCUCCAUUCUAGGAGGGUCAAAUGUAUGCAGCCUUUUUCUUGGGUGCUGAGGAGCUAUUCCCAUAUUUUGAAUCCAUGACACCUAGGUCAGAAUGGAGCAACCUUACCAUUGCCCUCCCCCCUAACCGUUUGUUUUCAUCUGAUAACUAAAUUCUUUUCUUGUCCUGGACAGACUGAGAUGCUGGAGUUCAUUCGGUCAUUUUCCACUGUACAGAUAAGAUUGUAGCUAGGAGUUUGGAAUGAUGGUGGAGUGGAACUGCAACAAUAGGUGCGUCAUUGUGAUCUGCCUGCUCUGAUACCAAAUUGAUGUACCUCCAGUUGGACAAUGAGCUACAAAAUAUGAAUCUGCUGCGAGUUAGCGAAUA